rnacentral:rRNA from 1 species
AACACGUGGGUAACCUGCCCAUCAGAAGGGGAUAACACUUGGAAACAGGUGCUAAUACCGUAUAACAAUCGAAACCGCAUGGUUUUGAUUUGAAAGGCGCUUUCGGGUGUCGCUGAUGGAUGGACCCGCGGUGCAUUAGCUAGUUGGUGAGGUAACGGCUCACCAAGGCCACGAUGCAUAGCCGACCUGAGAGGGUGAUCGGCCACAUUGGGACUGAGACACGGCCCAAACUCCUACGGGAGGCAGCAGUAGGGAAUCUUCGGCAAUGGACGAAAGUCUGACCGAGCAACGCCGCGUGAGUGAAGAAGGUUUUCGGAUCGUAAAACUCUGUUGUUAGAGAAGAACAAGGAUGAGAGUAACUGUUCAUCCCUUGACGGUAUCUAACCAGAAAGCCACGGCUAACUACGUGCCAGCAGCCGCGGUAAUACGUAGGUGGCAAGCGUUGUCCGGAUUUAUUGGGCGUAAAGCGAGCGCAGGCGGUUUCUUAAGUCUGAUGUGAAAGCCCCCGGCUCAACCGGGGAGGGUCAUUGGAAACUGGGAGACUUGAGUGCAGAAGAGGAGAGUGGAAUUCCAUGUGUAGCGGUGAAAUGCGUAGAUAUAUGGAGGAACACCAGUGGCGAAGGCGGCUCUCUGGUCUGUAACUGACGCUGAGGCUCGAAAGCGUGGGGAGCAAACAGGAUUAGAUACCCUGGUAGUCCACGCCGUAAACGAUGAGUGCUAAGUGUUGGAGGGUUUCCGCCCUUCAGUGCUGCAGCUAACGCAUUAAGCACUCCGCCUGGGGAGUACGACCGCAAGGUUGAAACUCAAAGGAAUUGACGGGGGCCCGCACAAGCGGUGGAGCAUGUGGUUUAAUUCGAAGCAACGCGAAGAACCUUACCAGGUCUUGACAUCCUUUGACCACUCUAGAGAUAGAGCUUCCCCUUCGGGGGCAAAGUGACAGGUGGUGCAUGGUUGUCGUCAGCUCGUGUCGUGAGAUGUUGGGUUAAGUCCCGCAACGAGCGCAACCCUUAUUGUUAGUUGCCAUCAUUCAGUUGGGCACUCUAGCAAGACUGCCGGUGACAAACCGGAGGAAGGUGGGGAUGACGUCAAAUCAUCAUGCCCCUUAUGACCUGGGCUACACACGUGCUACAAUGGGAAGUACAACGAGUUGCGAAGUCGCGAGGCUAAGCUAAUCUCUUAAAGCUUCUCUCAGUUCGGAUUGCAGGCUGCAACUCGCCUGCAUGAAGCCGGAAUCGCUAGUAAUCGCGGAUCAGCACGCCGCGGUGAAUACGUUCCCGGGCCU